CGAACCAAUGCCCAAUCAGGUUCUCUAAAAUCUAUCAUCCCAUUAGUCCAUCAUUUCAUUUCUUUUUUGACGAUUUCACUCCAUCAGAAAGCUUUUUCCUCUCAGAACGUUUCAUUUUCUUUUGUUUUAAAGCUUCAUUUUCUUCUUUCUGCUCCAUUGAGAAACUCCCUAAUCUAGUUAGGCUCCCAUUCGCGUCUCAUCUGUUCUUCAGCGUACUCAGGGACUGUCCUUUCCAGGUAUAUUUCUUCCUUUCUUCUUAGAGUUACUGUUGCCAGAAUGUGUGCAAGAGUAUUAACAGAUCUCAAUAUGUGCUUGAAUGUGAUAUUAAUGGGUUCCUUUAUUUGCUGUUUGAUAUCAUAUAUAUAUGCUCCUAUCAAUGACCGAUCUUGACCUUCUGUGUUGUAUUUCUUUAUUAUUGUGAGUGAGUCUCCUUCGACUAUGAUUGACUGCCAUCCCUUUUCGAUUCCAAGUUGUACCGCUUUCCAACAGGCUAUGGCUUCAGCAGCAAAUGCAGAGGCAAUACCUUGGUGGAUUUCUAAGUAGGAUAGAAGAACUGUCCCAUCUGCAUCUCGAGCCACGAUACCCGAAGCCAAACAAUUUUGACCUUCAUUAUAGGCACCAUCGAAGUUAAUCUUUAUGAACUCGCCAGUUGGGUGUCUCCAUCUACUAGGUUCUGUUGUUUUUGCUAACUUUCUUUUUUUGAAAACAUUAAGUUCAUUGAUGAAACUAUUGAUUAACUUUGCAAUGUCCUUCCCAGUACUAACUGUUUUCUCAUGUAUUCGUUUAUUUCGGUCUCCCCAUAUGGCCCAGAGUGCGCAGCAGAAGAGGCAGCAUUGACAAGGGGUUAGCUGAUUAAACACCCAGGUAAGCCACUGUACAAAGUCCAUGUUUUGUAUUCUUACAAUAUGCUGUAAUGACAACGCUGUCCAUGCUUCCACUGUAACAGGGCAUUCUCGAAAUAAGUGGUCCAUGGUUUCAGCGCUUGCACCACACCUGGGACAAAUUGUAUCGGUUGCUAGCUUCCUGUACUGCAUAUUUACUUUCGUAGGUAGAUAAUUCUAUGAGAAUCUCCAGAUUGUAAUCUUUAUUUUUGUUGGUAAAUGCAAAGUCCAAAGCUUUUUGUAAAAAUUCCUGUAGAUGGUUUGUAAAGCAUAAGCUUUAGGGUUUUCAUCAGAACUCUGUAAUAGUUUAUAGGCACUUCGGACCGAGAAUCCACUCGACGAUUCACUCCCCCAGAUAAGGAAGUCAUCAUGAGGUGUUCGUGCCAAGGGGAUCCGGAGAAUUCUUUCAGCGUCUUCUUCUGCGAAGGUAUCCUUUAUCAACUCCUUUUUCCACAAUCUAUUACUAUCAAUCAGCUCAUUAACUUUAACAUUACGCAUAUAAUUAAUCGUAGUAGAUAAUCUGAAAUUAACUGUAUUUGGAAUCCACGCAUCACCAUUGAUCGAUAUAUUCAGACCCGUACCAACCCUCCAGCAUAGCCCCUUUGUCAAUGUAGCUUUCGCUGCCCAUAUACUUUUCCACAUAUAAGAACCAGAAUUACUUAAACGAGAUUCUAAAAAAUGAUCAUUCGAAAAAUACUUGGCUUUAAAUACUUGCGUAACAAUAGCAUUCUGAUUAUUUAUAAUCCUCUAUCCUUGCUUGGCUAAUAAAGAAAUGUUAAAUUGGGCCAUAUUUCUAAAACCCAUACCACCCUCCUCUUUCGAGCUGCACAUGACCUUCCAUAGGCACAAGUGAAUUCCUUUUCUUCCUUGGCCUUUGUGCCACCAGAAUUGAGCAAAAGUAUUUUCAAACUCUCCGCAUAGUGAUUUUGGUAAGAGAAAGCAUGUCAUCGCAUAAGUUGGAAUUGCUUGAAGUACUGAUUUUAUGAAAACCUCUUUCCCCUCUUAAGAUAGCAAUUGUGCACUCCAGUUUUCAAUUUUCUGUUUAAUUCUAUUUUUCAGGUUUUGAAAAGAUUCCUUCUUUCGUUUUCCUACCAUAUUUGGAAGGCCUAAAUGUUUUUCCAUGUUUGUUGAUUGUCUCACUCCCAUUUCAUUGGAGAUGUUUCUUUGAUUCCUGCUGUUAUAUUAGAGUUGAAGAAAAUCAUGGAUUUAAUAAAGUUCAUAUAUUGGCCGGAACAAUUCUCAUACUCCUUCAAAAUAUUUUUUAAGGUCUCUGUUCCUUUCUUUGUAGCUUCGCGCAAAUAAUAAGUGUGAAAUCAUCAGACCUCUUUAGCUAGCCUUCACUCCUUUUAGCUCGCCCUCUCUUAUUGUCAGCCUGGUUAGGGAUGAAAGUCCCUCACUACAAAUCAGAAAAAGAAAGGGACUAAGUGGAUCACCAUGUCUGAGUCCUCCAGUAGGUUUGAAAACCCUGCCUCUACUUCUAUCAUAGGCUUUACUCAUGUCUAGUUUCACUGCCAUAAAUCCCUUUUUUCCGUUCUCUUUUGACGUAAAGUAUGUAGAAUUUCAUAGGCUAUUAGCACAUUAUCAGAUAUUAGCCUUCCCGGAAUAAACGCACUUUGAGCACUGUCAAUAUAUUUUUCCAUAAAUACUUGAAGACGAUUAGGAAUUGUUCUAAAACAUGAGUUUUAAUCAAUAUGACAUAAAUGUGUUAGAUUAAUUGUAUUCUUUAACCUAGAAUGAUUAAAGUUGUAAUAAAGUGCAAGUGUAUACAAUCACAACAAGUAAUAAAGUGACAAGUAAUGUCAAGUUAUUGUACCCACCGGGAUUGUGCAAGAAAAUAUUUAUGAAAUGCAAAAUUAAACAAUUUGGUGUUGGAAAAUAUAUUGAUUUGAAGAGGUUUUAUAAAAACUAAAAAUUAACUAAGUAAUUUAACUAAGAAAAAAUUAAAAGCAAAAAUAUUUCAUUUUUAAAACAUGAGUUUUAAUCAAUAUGACAUAAAUGUGUUAGAUUAAUUGUAUUAUUUAACCUAGAAUAAUUAAAGUUGUGUUCAUGUUGUUACGAAUAAUUUCACGGCAACUCGAUAAUUUGCUAACUAAUACACAUACUUACCUACUAAAACCCAAUAACCUCUUGACCAUAUCGUUAUGUAAAUUCAAAUGGUUAAUCAAAUUUUAAUAAGAAAAUAAAAGAUUAAGUGAAGCAACAAUAUAUCUCUAUAUUGAAACAAUUUAAUCACAAUAAUCUUGCAAGUUACGCAAGGCUAAUGUAUUGUUUAAUAUCGUUGUUAAUUUAACCCUUAGCUACUUUAGAAGAUUAAACAUGCACCAAUUAAAUAUUGUGUUAAUUAAUUACAAUUUCAAUUCAUUUAAAUAAUUAAUUCAAUUGUUACCUUACAAUUAAAAUGCAAGCAUAACAUAAGUAUGGUUUUAUUUAAUUGAACAAUUUACUAUGACAUAAUAACAACACCAAACACAUUUUUCAUAAUUUAAGCAGAUAGAAUGCAAUUAAUCUAACACGAAAGGAAUUUAAGUCAUUUUAAUUAAUUGAAGAACAAUAUCAAAAAUAUUCAUAUUCAUGAUCAAAACAAAAUUAAAACAAAGAUUAAGAGAAGGGAACUAGAAGAACAAAUCUCGGUGGUUUUCCAAAGCCAGACUAGUACGUUCCUCUCUUCUCUGCUUGUUCUACUGGUUCAGUGCCUUCACGAACACUCGAUUGCUGCUACUCCAAGAUGCAUGCAAGCUCUUUUUCAAGAGGGGAAAUCGACAAGGGAAGAAGGGAAUUGAAAGGCAACUAGAAGGGAGAAAGGCAGAAAAUGUGUGAGAGAGAGAGAUGUGUGAAAUGAGGAUAAGAAAUGGAGUGAAGGGGUUUAUAGUGGGAGAUGACUGCUAAAAUUAGCUAAAAAUAGUAGCCAGCCCCCCUUCCCAUGGUCGGCCAUGCUAGGUGGUAGGUUUGAUUGAAUCAAACUUGUUAUUUUUAGCUUGUGGCUAAAAAUAGAAAGCAUGAAAAUAGGAGGGGUUGGAAAAAAAUAACCGGCCAUGUUCUUAGGUCGCUUGGUACAAAAAUUGCCUUAACAGUUAAAGCUUUUCAAGGUGCUUAUUGAGUCUAUUUUUACCCUUUGUGCAAAAAUUGUCGAAAAUAAAUCAAAUUUGUGUCAAUUCAAUAUAAAAAUAAAUAAAUUUUAAUAUGUUCUUAAUUUGAGUGGAAUUUAAUUAUUUUAUAAUUAAAGUAUAAAUUUUGAAAAAAAUUACUACAAAACUGCAUGAAUUAAAGCUAAAACAGAGCUGAAAAAGUCCAUAUAUUUUUGUGUUUCUAGAAAGCCAACAUUGUUCAUUAACCUUUAGUACCUAUAUUUGAGCCAGAAACCACUUCUUGAUGAACCUUCAUACAAAACCCGAAGCCAAAAUGUUAAUUGUACUGAUCAUUUUUCUUUGGUUCUUGAAUUGUACGAAUUUAGACGUGGAGCCAUACAUAUUGAAGGAUAAGUAGAGACAUAAUGGUGGUUUUGAAAAAUCAUAGUGAAAUAAAGAAGACAUUUUGUGAUAUAGUAAUUAUAGGUUAAGCAAAAGUGUGCUAAAAAAGAAAAAUUUAGAAAAAGACAAAAUAGGAUGAAAAAGAGCUAAAUCAAGCAAAAAGUAUUGUGAGUGAGAAAAUAGUGAAAAAGAGAUAGUGACUCAAAAACAAAAGGUCACCAAAAUAAAUAAAAAAAACUCAGUCAGUAGUGCACCAAAACUUGUUAAGUUGAAUGUAGUUGCUCAAGAAAUAAGGAAGGUGAGAGAAUGGAAAAGGCUGUGAAUGGGAAAAGGGAUGUUAGAAGAGGUGAAUAGGGAACAAUACGAUGUGCCAAACUAAUUUUGUGUUUGAAACCAUUUUGAUGUGCCUUGUUUUUGAAUUUCGUACCAACCUUAAGUCUCAAAACAUUACAAGUUGAAAAGUCCUAUGUGACUUAGGUAAAUCUAUUUGUGGAUGGAUAUUGCAUUAAGCGAUCGCAAUAAUAGUUGUAUGUCUUCUGCUAGUAUAAUUGAAAUCCUAUGUGAUUUUCUUGAUGGAUUAAUAUAUUUGAUAAUAUUUUUUCUUAUAUGCUUUAUAAUAUACUGAACUUAGGUGUUGAAGUUGAUAGUGGUAAGUCAUUUACAUAUCAUGUAGGAAUUAUUUGUAUUUACAAUUACCCAUAUCUGCUUCGCUCCUAAGUUAAUCUUUGUAUCAUACUUGCUCAAGUCAUUUACUUUAUAUUUUCCUUUUUAUGUUUUCUUUCUUGAGGACAAGCAAUGAAUUAAGUGUGGGAGAGUUUGAUCUGCUGCAAUUCCUUGUAGCAGAUUAAACUACUUUCUAUACUUAACAAGCUCGUAGGAAAGUAAUUUCGUUCUGUUUUUGUUUAGUUUUCACUUUUAGUACUUAGGCAAAAAAAAAAAGCAAAUUCGGUGAUUUAUAUGACCUUGUGGGCCAAGGUAGGCCUAAAGGUAGUCUAAUAUAUUUCUUGAGUGUGUAGGACAUUAUUCGAAGGCACAAAGAUAGUGGACUUCCCGCGAUGUUGCAACACAGAGCUUGGAUGUCGCAACAUAGCAAGAAGAGUACCUAAAGAGCAAUUUGCCAUCAAUGUCGUGACACAGUUUUGAAAAUACACCUAACUAGUAAACUAUCAUCAGUGUCGUGACACAGGCUAGAGGGUGUCACGACAUCGGUGUGACAAGGUCACUUAAUGGACCAAGGGUGUUUCUGUCUGCACAAUGAACUUUAACGAGAAAUAGUCAGUCAUUUUAGGUGAACGACCAGUUUCCAAACCUAGGCUUAUAAAUAGAAUUGCUUUGAACAAUUUAGAGGACAAUUUUUACUUGGUUUUAAUUUUACUUUCAAUUGCAAUUUAGAUUUUUUUUUCAGUUGUAACUUUUACUUUAGUUUAUUUUGUUCUUCGUGGGAUCUGGAUUAUAGAUUGAUCAACUCCUCAUGGAUUACUAUUUGUGCUAUUAUAUUUACAUCAGGAUUCUUC
rnacentral:lncRNA from 1 species